CUGGCGAGUUCCUUCCCCUCCUCCUGCGUUUCUCUCCCUCCCUCCCUCUCUCUUUCCUGUACUGUGUCGGCCAGCACACACUCUCUUUCUCUCUGUCUGUGUCCUUGCCUCUCCCUGUGCUUUCUCCCUUUAUGGGACACGGGUAGGUGUGGAUCCCCAUAGGCUAGUUCUCGGGAGCCAGGAAGAAGUAGGAGGGGAUGAAAAUUAUGUGGGGUCGUGGGUGCGAGAGUGGAGGCAGGUAUUGUAAAAUAUCUAGCACGGUAGCAUGUUGGACAGUGAUGGCUCUUCCAUAGGUGGUUUGCUGUUCUUGCAGAGGCCCGCUCAAGGCCAAUGGAGCCGCCCCAGACAGAGGAGAAGCAUCUGGAGGAACCAGACCUGCACAAUCUAGAUGUUUUUCACUUGGCAGGGGAGCUAAGGAGUGCUCUCGUGAUAUUUGAGGAGCAGUACCAAGGGAAAAGAAGUGGAGGGUCAGAGUCUGCUCCCCUCAUGCGAUGGAAAGCAAGUAAGAGCGGGGAGACAGCGAACGUUACUGAUGCCAGGCAAGAGCCGUCCAGCUUGGAGCCGAGCAGCCGUCACUGUCAGUGAGAUAAGUGUCUUGUUAGGUGAGGGCUCUGCUCACUUCUCACUUGGCUUCAGGUACGGAUGCCCAGUUAGCUACGGCUCGGUGUGUAACAAAAUGAGCUGUGGAUAUGUGGGAGACAAGGUCCCCAUUUUCAGCAUCAGCUCAUUUCUCCGUUCACAAGCGGUGUGUCCUCUGCAGAAAAGCUUGGAUCCAGGAGGAUGAUUCCAGUGCACUGGCAGAGGAAUUGUCCAGGAGCGCUGUCUGGAGGAGAGACUCUCAAAAGUGGACCUGAACAUCCUUCUAAGCAGACGUGAACAGUCCUCAGCUUUCUGCCUCCUGCAUAACUGGCUUACCAAGGGAAAAGAAGUCACGUAUCAUUCUACUGUCCUCAUGCGAAGGAAAGCGAGACCGACGAGACCGCGAUCAUUGUCGAAAUCAGGCAUUAGCUGUACAUCUGGGAGCGGAGCAGUCACCGCUGUCAGUGAGAUAAAUGUCUGGUUUGGUGAGGGAUCUGCUCAUGGCCCACCUGGCUCCAGUUUGCAGAGGAAUCAUCCAGGAGCCCUCGCCGGACGAGAAUAUGCAGAAGUUGACCUCAGCAGCCUGGACAUCCUUCUAAGGAGACAUGAAUAUUCCUCAUCAUUCUGCCUUUUGCAUAACUGCCU